UUUGGGACGAACGCUGGCGGCAUUCCUAACACAUGCCAAGUCGAACGCGUGCCUUCGGGCACGAGUGGCGGACGGGUGAGUAACGCGUGGGAAUUUGCCUUGGGGUACGGAAUAACCGCGGGAAACUGCGGCUAAUACCGUAUACGUCCUUCGGGAGAAAGAUUUAUCGCCCCAAGAUGAGCCCGCGUCCGAUUAGGUAGUUGGUGAGGUAACGGCUCACCAAGCCUUCGAUCGGUAGCUGGUCUGAGAGGAUGAUCAGCCACACUGGGACUGAGACACGGCCCAGACUCCUACGGGAGGCAGCAGUGGGGAAUAUUGGACAAUGGGGGAAACCCUGAUCCAGCCAUGCCGCGUGAGUGAAGAAGGCCUUAGGGUUGUAAAGCUCUUUCGGUGGUGACGAUGAUGACGGUAGCCACAGAAGAAGCCCCGGCUAACUCCGUGCCAGCAGCCGCGGUAAUACGGAGGGGGCAAGCGUUGUUCGGAAUUACUGGGCGUAAAGGGCGCGUAGGCGGAUGAUCAAGUCAGACGUGAAAGCCCCUGGGCUCAACCUAGGAGGUGCCUUUGAAACUGAUUGUCUUGAGUACCGAAGAAGGAUAGC
rnacentral:rRNA from 1 species